GGCACCGUGGCGAAGUAGAAACGCGGUGGUCUGCAAAACCUCCAUGCGCGGGUGCAAUUCCCGCCGGUGCCU
rnacentral:tRNA from 1 species